rnacentral:rRNA from 1 species
AGAGUUUGAUCAUGGCUCAGAUUGAACGCUGGCGGCAGGCCUAACACAUGCAAGUCGAACGGUAACAGGAAGCAGCUUGCUGCUUCGCUGACGAGUGGUGGACGGGUGAGUAAUGUCUGGGAAACUGCCUGAUGGAGGGGGAUAACUACUGGAAACGGUAGCUAAUACCGCAUAACGUCGCAAGACCAAAGAGGGGGACCUUCGGGCCUCUUGCCAUCGGAUGUGCCCAGAUGGGAUUAGCUAGUAGGUGGGGUAACGGCUCACCUAGGCGACGAUCCCUAGCUGGUCUGAGAGGAUGACCAGCCACACUGGAACUGAGACACGGUCCAGACUCCUACGGGAGGCAGCAGUGGGGAAUAUUGCACAAUGGGCGCAAGCCUGAUGCAGCCAUGCCGCGUGUAUGAAGAAGGCCUUCGGGUUGUAAAGUACUUUCAGCGGGGAGGAAGGGAGUAAAGUUAAUACCUUUGCUCAUUGACGUUACCCGCAGAAGAAGCACCGGCUAACUCCGUGCCAGCAGCCGCGGUAAUACGGAGGGUGCAAGCGUUAAUCGGAAUUACUGGGCGUAAAGCGCACGCAGGCGGUUUGUUAAGUCAGAUGUGAAAUCCCCGGGCUCAACCUGGGAACUGCAUCUGAUACUGGCAAGCUUGAGUCUCGUAGAGGGGGGUAGAAUUCCAGGUGUAGCGGUGAAAUGCGUAGAGAUCUGGAGGAAUACCGGUGGCGAAGGCGGCCCCCUGGACGAAGACUGACGCUCAGGUGCGAAAGCGUGGGGAGCAAACAGGAUUAGAUACCCUGGUAGUCCACGCCGUAAACGAUGUCGACUUGGAGGUUGUGCCCUUGAGGCGUGGCUUCCGGAGCUAACGCGUUAAGUCGACCGCCUGGGGAGUACGGCCGCAAGGUUAAAACUCAAAUGAAUUGACGGGGGCCCGCACAAGCGGUGGAGCAUGUGGUUUAAUUCGAUGCAACGCGAAGAACCUUACCUGGUCUUGACAUCCACAGAACCUUGUAGAGAUACGAGGGUGCCUUCGGGAACUGUGAGACAGGUGCUGCAUGGCUGUCGUCAGCUCGUGUUGUGAAAUGUUGGGUUAAGUCCCGCAACGAGCGCAACCCUUAUCCUUUGUUGCCAGCGGUCCGGCCGGGAACUCAAAGGAGACUGCCAGUGAUAAACUGGAGGAAGGUGGGGAUGACGUCAAGUCAUCAUGGCCCUUACGACCAGGCUACACACGUGCUACAAUGGCGCAUACAAAGAGAAGCGACCUCGCGAGAGCAAGCGGACCUCAUAAAGUGCGUCGUAGUCCGGAUUGGAGUCUGCAACUCGACUCCAUGAAGUCGGAAUCGCUAGUAAUCGUGGAUCAGAAUGCCACGGUGAAUACGUUCCCGGGCCUUGUACACACCGCCCGUCACACCAUGGGAGUGGGUUGCAAAAGAAGUAGGUAGCUUAACCUUCGGGAGGGCGCUUACCACUUUGUGAUUCAUGACUGGGGUGAAGUCGUAACAAGGUAACCGUAGGGGAACCUGCGGUUG